GGGAAGAGCUAAGGGAGGUAUUUCUCACCUUUUGUUUUUUUUUUUUUUGGCACACAGUGUUUCAAGAAUGUUGAUAGUGCUACCUAGGCAGGCUUAGUCUGUGGCUGAUCUGCAGUUCCUGUGUCAGACAUCUACCCCAGGGAUUCUUCAGGUGAUACAUUCUGCUCAUUUGGCAGAGGAAGAGUCUUGCUGCAAAUGAGCUGACCUUCCUCUAUAAUCCAGCAUGUUCUCUAGAGGCAUUAUGAAGACAACAGAGAGAAACAAAGUGUCAAACUUCAAUACUGCUGGCUAUUGGGAAAGGUUUAACAGAGGAGUUCAAUAUUUGCUGAUUCCAAGUACAGCACACUGGACUAGUUGGAUCUUUCAUCUGACGUUUUAUGUACCUACAAAUCCCAGCCACAGAGCACAGUACAAAGAAUUGCGUGUGUGA
rnacentral:lncRNA from 1 species